GGUUUUUUGGAUUUAGAUAAGAAAUCAAACCUGCCCACUGAUAAAGGGCUGCAGUAUUUUGACUGUACAAAGGUAGCAUAAUCAUUAGUCUUUUAAUUGAAGACUGGUAUGAAAGGUUAGACGGAGAUAAACUGUUUCAAAUAUAAUAAUGAAAUUUAUUUUUAAGGAAAAGAGCUUAAAUAAAAUAAAGGGACGAGAAGACCCUAUUAAAUUUAAUAUAUUUGUUUAAUUUUGUUUAUAUAGAAGAAUUAAAUGUAUAUUAAUUUUACUGGGGCGGUGAAUAAUAAACUUUAUUAUUAUUUAAUAUUAUAAGUAGCGAAGUUUUGAUCCGAAAGGUUUGAUAUAAGAUAAAAUUACUGUAGGGAUAACAGCGUAAUGUUUUUUGAGAGUUCUUAUUGACAAGAAUGUUUGCGACCUCGAUGUUGGAUUGAGAAGUCUUUUUGGUGUAGUAGUUUUAAAAGAAGGUCUGUUCGACCUUUAAAUUCUU
rnacentral:rRNA from 1 species